CAAGGUGUUCAUCUAUCUAUAACUAUAUAUUUUUCUUAAGUUCUUAUAAUUCUAUAAAGUUGGGGAGCAUGUGCCAAUUGAAUAUGUAAUUUUUCAUAGCACUAUUGCAUUUGCACCUAUGUGCAAAAUAUUUGAAGACUUGAAUGCAGAAAAAAAAGUUCUCUGUGGCAUUAUGACUUGCUCUUAGAUAGAUAACAUUGAGGAGGCUGUGAAUGUGAUGGUAAACUAGUGUGCAUGAUGCAUUGUCUACUAAUGACUCUGCAUUUUCAGGUAUACAAAUGCUCACUCGGAUUUCUUUUGUGCCUGCUGAAAAUGGUGGUGGAAAUGUUCAUUCUGGAGCACCUCCGCCUUGGUUUGAAACAACUGAGGGAGUUCAGAUGCAUCCGAAGCCUGUUUUAGGAGACCUUGUCUCCCAUUCAAACAAGUCAGGGAAGCACAAAAAGUUGAGUCCUAAACGCGUUGGAGCUGCUUGGGCAGAAAAGAGAAAGAUUGAAAUGGAGAUGGAAAAGAGGGGAGAGACUGUGAGGAACGAAUGUGAUGCCAGCUGGCUUCCUAAUUUUGGUAGAGUCUGGCAAUCUGGCAGCAGAAGAGAAUCCAGAAAAGAAUUUGAAAAGGAGAAACAAGAGUUGUCAAAUGUUGAAGCUCAACCUGAGAUGCCAAUCAAGAUACAACCUUAUGUUAGCAAAAGAAUGGUGCGUUUUACAUUCUAAAUAUUAUGGGUUUGAUUUGUUUCAAAACUGUCUGUCAAAACCAGUCUGCUUUGUGCCUGACCGAGCCCAAGCUUGGCAUGUUUGGUAUAUGGGUUGCAAAAUGGGCAGAGUCAGGGGCGGUUGGUUUCAUAUCAAUGGGGUAGCAUUUGCUACCCCAAAAGAAAAAAAAAAUCUUGAAUAAUGUAGUAUAGUUUUGUAUGUAGCUACCCCAUUGAUAUAUUAUUUGGCUACUCCAAACAAUUUUUGUUGGUUUAAAGAAGGAUGAUAUCAAUAAAAUAUAGAUAAUCUAUUUAGUUUAGUAUCAAUUAUAGAUAAAUUUGACUUAAAACUUCAUAGAGCACAACUUUUAUAAAUAAUUAUUGUUAGAUUUUAUUUUCUUUACUGUCGUUUCAUUAAAUAUAAGUAAAAUUUAUCGUUAUUGAUUAAGUUCAAUAUAUUAGUUUUUAAAAUAUAUAUAUAUUUUUUGUAUUUGGCCUCCUCGUAAAUAUUGUGCUAGCUUCGCCGUUUUGCAGAGUACUUCAGACUGAUCAUACCACCAUGUCUAGAAUGGUGGUAUCAAUUGUAUACAGAUAAAACAAAUGCAUUUAAUUGGGCAGAUGCGGGUAGAUGAACUUCAGACUGAUCAUACCACCAUGCCCGACCCAACCCGCAAAAAACCGGAGGAAACAACCCGAUAUGUGCGGGUUAUAGCGGGUUAACGGGUCUACGGGUUAUAAACACGGGUAUUUAAGAGUUUAAUUGGGCAGAUGCGGGUAGAUGAACUUCAACCGCGGGUACCCGAACCCGCCCGCGAAUACAAAUAAUUUAUGGGAAUUGAUGAUAAUCAAAUGCAUUUAGGGAGUAAUAACUACUUUCAUUUGCGGUGCAAGUUUUUUAGCAAUAUAAUAACACCUUUGGUUGACCAAUUCAAUACUAUUUUAUAUCACAUUUAUUUUUAUUUACUACUAGGAUUUUACUUUGUAGUUAUUUCCUUUUAUGUUUUCCAUUGAAACGUUACAGCAAAACAUCAUCUCUCUCACGGCUUCUUCACCACCACCAUGCUCCAUCAGUAUCAAUUACUUUUCUUCAAACAUUAACACCAUGUUCUGUUAGUCUCCCUUAUUUUUCUUUUCACUACGUCCCUCCUCUUUUCUCUUCUGCAUCUUCUUUUACUUCUCAAAUCUCAGUUUUUAUUUCAAUUUUCAUUUUCUUCUUGAUGUUUUGUUGGUUGAUGAAUGAUGUAGAUCUGAGGUGAGGCUACUGUUUUUUCAAAUUUCUAUUAUGAAUCUUCUCAACCCGCGUGAAUCCACCCGUAAACCCGCAACCCGAAAGACCCGAACCCGUGCAAACCGAAGAAGAAAAGCUAGCUUAAAUGGGUCUGUACACACAAACCGCGGGUUGAGCUGGGUCGAGCUUUCAGACCCGAACCCGCCCGUUGUCCACCCCUAGACUAGGUGGUACCCCAACCAUUAAACAAUUCAAAAAUGAUGAGUAACCCAGUAAUAGCGACUCAAAAGUUUAUUUGAGAUAAUCUGAUCGAAAAAGCACAAAACUCAGGAGCUGUGUGCUGCUUCGCCCUUGCAUUGCAUCAGAUACAAAUUGGAGUCACAGUGAACUCUCCUGGCCGGAAAACACACCAGAGUUGUCCGUGUAUCAGAAACUGUGAGGAAUUCCUUCUAAAUUUCCUUUUUUUUUUUAAUAAAUUAGAAUUUUCCUUCCCUUCUCCUGUAGCAUGCGAUUCCACCGCGAUGGUCACCCCUCAAAAGGCAACGCACUAAUGAUUGAAUUGCGUCGCAGAAAGAAAGAGAGGGGAGGGGCUUACGAUUGAAAAAGGUGCCUGGGAGAAUCUGAUUCCUAUUCAAAUCAUUGUUGUUUAAUGAAUAGUUGAAUACGUUUGCUCAAUUUCUGAUACUACCCUUAUUCACACACUUAUUGUUUCUUCAACUUUUCUUAUGAAACCAAUGUACUGGGUUACUCAUCAUUUUUGAAUUGUUUAAUGGUUGGGGUACCACAUACAAUAGAAAAGAUGACCUGUAUGUUCUGCAGUAAGGAGAGUAUAUGAGAUGGAGGAUAUUUAGAUCACUAGAGACAAAGACCUAGAAAAACUAUAUAAUAUGGUUUAUGAUAGAACAUUAUGGCAUGAUUUGAUCCAUGUAGCCGUCCCCACUUAGUGGGAUAAAGCUUGGUUGUUGUUGUUAUUUUCUUAUUUAUUUUUUGAAUGGUGUUCUUGUUGUUAUUGAUUGCUGUUGUCGCACCAUAUGAAAAAAUAAAAAAAGUUAUAGUCCAUUCGAGUUUUAAUUAGAAAAAACUCAAAAUUAAACCCAUAGUAAAUAAGUAAGGUGCUGAAGCUUGCAAUAAUUGCAUCUAUAGUUCAAUAUUUAUCUGUUUUUCUAAUUUUGUAACUGGCUGUUGGAGUUAUCAGCUUUUAGGCUUUACGAGCACUUCCCAUGGCUAAUGUUGGGCUGGUUGAGUAGUGCGGCCUUGCCCAAUAUAGACUCUGCCAUUUGGGACUUUAUUGUCAUUGUUACUUUACCAUUCAAACCAUUGAAAUGACAUUCUUGUCUACAUGAGAAAGUGUGAAUGAUAAGUUAAAUUCACCAUGGUGUUUUCGUUCGUAGGGACAGCCGAAAGAGAAUCCAUUUAUAAUGAGGGAGCAAUCUGAGAACAAGAGCAAGAGUGCCAAGCCUAAAACAGGCACAAAGGAGAAGAAGAAAAGUGAGUUUGAGUUCUGCAAGGUUUGCAAAAUAAAUCAUGACCAAGGUCUUCGCCACAAGUAUUUCCCUAAGCACAAACAAUCCCUUUCCACCUUCCUCUCUCGCUUCAAAAACAAACUCUCCGAUGUUCGCUUCUUCCUCAAAACACCUUCUCCUCUUACUCCUCAACUUGCUUCCGGCAAUCGCUUCUGGUGUGUUUUCUGUGACCAAGAUAUCGAUGAGCACUCCAGUUCUUUUGCCUGGUAUCAAUUUUUUGUUUUCAAUUUAUGAACUAUUGUCCAGGUUUUCUUUAGCUAAAUUGUAAUGAACGUUCUCUUGUUCUCGAGGCAGUGAAAAUGCGAUUCGUCACCUAGCAAGUGUAGAACAUGUGAAUAAUUUGAAGCACUUCUUUUGGAAAUAUGGUGGCACAGUGGAUCAGCUGGAUGUGUUUACAGUUUCUCAUAAUGACGUUGCAAAGGUGCCAUAUAAAAUCUUAUGUCUGUUUUUUAGGGGAUUUUUUUUUUUUUUUUUAUAUAUAAAAUAACUCAUUAUAUAGAAUGCAUUUGCUCAUUAAGUUACAAAAAAGCAUUUGCUCAUCAUUUGUCAUUUCUUUGCUAGUGCAGUGGGACAAGAGGUGCGCAAACCUUAAAAAAGAAGCUUCAUUGCAAAGUGAGGAAAGUCCUGGAGCAGUUUUUGGACCUUCAAGUGAUAUCCAUAAUCAAUCGAACAAUGAAAAUAUUGAUAGUUUUAAAAAUAAUAUUUAUUCCAAUUCUGUGAACUCGAAUGUUGUUUUGCCUUUACACUGCUACACAAAUGAGUAUCAGGUAUCCUCUUCAGGUCACUCUGGAGUUGGAAAUACCGGCCUUUUAGAUAUUGGUAAAUCUUCUUUACCUUCGGAAGCAUGCUCCAGUGCGAAUACCCUUGCUUUGCAGGAUUUUGCAGGUAUGCUUACCCUGUCUAUUGGAAAUGUCAUUCCUUAUUCUUUACAAUUAUCGGUCACUUGCGGGAUUUGUUAAAAAGUUGAGACUUAUCUUCCGUGUGCUUAUGCUUUGUGUCUCAGCUGAACGGAGAAGUCACAAACUCCCUUAUAAUAGUGGACAAUGGUCAAGUGAUGGAUACUCAUGUAAUAAAGCGGUAAGUCUAUGUGUUGGGGGGAAGAGGGGAGGGUUUCUUAGGCUUUGACUCUUCUGCUUGAGAAUCUAACUAUUGAGUUUCAGACUUUCAGCAAUUGUUGGUUGAUGAUUUCAUUGGUUUGUAAGAUCAAUGUAUCUAAAGUUUUUCCUAAAGUUAUCUAAAAUUUUCUUGUCUUCAUGAUCAAGGAUUAUAGUUUGCUUCUCGCAAUGCAUGCUUGUAUAUUUUAUAAUCUCUAAUUUCUAUUUUCACAUUAUUCUGAUUGUUGCUCCCCUCUUGCUCUGUAGCUUUCUAAUGUCUAAUUUAAACACUGAUAAAGGCAUUGCAUUUCUUAUGAAUAUAGCAGGUUCUUGAUAAUGGUAAAGUGGUCAGCGGAGAGAGUGGUCCGCAAGGUGUUCAUCUAUCUAUAACUAUAUAUUUUUCUUAAGUUCUUAUAAUUCUAUAAAGUUGGGGAGCAUGUGCCAAUUGAAUAUGUAAUUUUUCAUAGCACUAUUGCAUUUGCACCUAUGUGCAAAAUAUUUGAAGACUUGAAUGCAGAAAAAAAAGUUCUCUGUGGCAUUAUGACUUGCUCUUAGAUAGAUAACAUUGAGGAGGCUGUGAAUGUGAUGGUAAACUAGUGUGCAUGAUGCAUUGUCUACUAAUGACUCUGCAUUUUCAGGUAUACAAAUGCUCACUCGGAUUUCUUUUGUGCCUGCUGAAAAUGGUGGUGGAAAUGUUCAUUCUGGAGCACCUCCGCCUUGGUUUGAAACAACUGAGGGAGUUCAGAUGCAUCCGAAGCCUGUUUUAGGAGACCUUGUCUCCCAUUCAAACAAGUCAGGGAAGCACAAAAAGUUGAAUCCUAAACGCGUUGGAGCUGCUUGGGCAGAAAAGAGAAAGAUUGAAAUGGAGAUGGAAAAGAGGGGAGAGACUGUGAGGAACGAAUGUGAUGCCAGCUGGCUUCCUAAUUUUGGUAGAGUCUGGCAAUCUGGCAGCAGAAGAGAAUCCAGAAAAGAAUUUGAAAAGGAGAAACAAGAGUUGUCAAAUGUUGAAGCUCAACCUGAGAUGCCAAUCAAGAUACAACCUUAUGUUAGCAAAAGAAUGGUGCGUUUUACAUUCUAAAUAUUAUGGGUUUGAUUUGUUUCAAAACUGUCUGUCAAAACCAGUCUGCUUUGUGCCUGACCGAGCCCAAGCUUGGCAUGUUUGGUAUAUGGGUUGCAAAAUGGGCAGAGUCAGGGGCGGUUGGUUUCAUAUCAAUGGGGUAGCAUUUGCUACCCCAAAAGAAAAAAAAAAUCUUGAAUAAUGUAGUAUAGUUUUGUAUGUAGCUACCCCAUUGAUAUAUUAUUUGGCUACUCCAAACAAUUUUUGUUGGUUUAAAGAAGGAUGAUAUCAAUAAAAUAUAGAUAAUCUAUUUAGUUUAGUAUCAAUUAUAGAUAAAUUUGACUUAAAACUUCAUAGAGCACAACUUUUAUAAAUAAUUAUUGUUAGAUUUUAUUUUCUUUACUGUCGUUUCAUUAAAUAUAAGUAAAAAUUAUCGUUAUUGAUUAAGUUCAAUAUAUUAGUUUUUAAAAUAUAUAUAUAUUUUUUGUAUUUGGCCUCCUCAUAAAUAUUGUGCUAGCUUCGCCGUUUUGCAGAGUACUUCAGACUGAUCAUACCACCAUGUCUAGAAUGGUGGUAUCAAUUGUAUACAGAUAAAACAAAUGCAUUUAAUUGGGCAGAUGCGGGUAGAUGAACUUCAGACUGAUCAUACCACCAUGCCCGACCCAACCCGCAAAAAACCGGAGGAAACAACCCGAUAUGUGCGGGUUAUAGCGGGUUAACGGGUCUACGGGUUAUAAACACGGGUAUUUAAGAGUUUAAUUGGGCAGAUGCGGGUAGAUGAACUUCAACCGCGGGUACCCGAACCCGCCCGCGAAUACAAAUAAUUUAUGGGAAUUGAUGAUAAUCAAAUGCAUUUAGGGAGUAAUAACUACUUUCAUUUGCGGUGCAAGUUUUUUAGCAAUAUAAUAACACCUUUGGUUGACCAAUUCAAUACUAUUUUAUAUCACAUUUAUUUUUAUUUACUACUAGGAUUUUACUUUGUAGUUAUUUCCUUUUAUGUUUUCCAUUGAAACGUUACAGCAAAACAUCAUCUCUCUCACGGCUUCUUCACCACCACCAUGCUCCAUCAGUAUCAAUUACUUUUCUUCAAACAUUAACACCAUGUUCUGUUAGUCUCCCUUAUUUUUCUUUUGACUACGUCCCUCCUCUUUUCUCUUCUGCAUCUUCUUUUACUUCUCAAAUCUCAGUUUUUAUUUCAAUUUUCAUUUUCUUCUUGAUGUUUUGUUGGUUGAUGAAUGAUGUAGAUCUGAGGUGAGGCUACUGUUUUUUCAAAUUUCUAUUAUGAAUCUUCUCAACCCGCGUGAACCCACCCGUAAACCCGCAACCCGAAAGACCCGAACCCGUGCAAACCGAAGAAGAAAAGCUAGCUUAAAUGGGUCUGUACACACAAACCGCGGGUUGAGCUGGGUCGAGCUUUCAGACCCGAACCCGCCCGUUGUCCACCCCUAGACUAGGUGGUACCCCAACCAUUAAACAAUUCAAAAAUGAUGAGUAACCCAGUAAUAGCGACUCAAAAGUUUAUUUGAGAUAAUCUGAUCGAAAAAGCACAAAACUCAGGAGCUGUGUGCUGCUUCGCCCUUGCAUUGCAUCAGAUACAAAUUGGAGUCACAGUGAACUCUCCUGGCCGGAAAACACACCAGAGUUGUCCGUGUAUCAGAAACUGUGAGGAAUUCCUUCUAAAUUUCCUUUUUUUUUUUAAUAAAUUAGAAUUUUCCUUCCCUUCUCCUGUAGCAUGCGAUUCCACCGCGAUGGUCACCCCUCAAAAGGCAACGCACUAAUGAUUGAAUUGCGUCGCAGAAAGAAAGAGAGGGGAGGGGCUUACGAUUGAAAAAGGUGCCUGGGAGAAUCUGAUUCCUAUUCAAAUCAUUGUUGUUUAAUGAAUAGUUGAAUACGUUUGCUCAAUUUCUGAUACUACCCUUAUUCACACACUUAUUGUUUCUUCAACUUUUCUUAUGAAACCAAUGUACUGGGUUACUCAUCAUUUUUGAAUUGUUUAAUGGUUGGGGUACCACAUACAAUAGAAAAGAUGACCUGUAUGUUCUGCAGUAAGGAGAGUAUAUGAGAUGGAGGAUAUUUAGAUCACUAGAGACAAAGACCUAGAAAAACUAUAUAAUAUGGUUUAUGAUAGAACAUUAUGGCAUGAUUUGAUCCAUGUAGCCGUCCCCACUUAGUGGGAUAAAGCUUGGUUGUUGUUGUUAUUUUCUUAUUUAUUUUUUGAAUGGUGUUCUUGUUGUUAUUGAUUGCUGUUGUCGCACCAUAUGAAAAAAUAAAAAAAGUUAUAGUCCAUUCGAGUUUUAAUUAGAAAAAACUCAAAAUUAAACCCAUAGUAAAUAAGUAAGGUGCUGAAGCUUGCAAUAAUUGCAUCUAUAGUUCAAUAUUUAUCUGUUUUUCUAAUUUUGUAACUGGCUGUUGGAGUUAUCAGCUUUUAGGCUUUACGAGCACUUCCCAUGGCUAAUGUUGGGCUGGUUGAGUAGUGCGGCCUUGCCCAAUAUAGACUCUGCCAUUUGGGACUUUAUUGUCAUUGUUACUUUACCAUUCAAACCAUUGAAAUGACAUUCUUGUCUACAUGAGAAAGUGUGAAUGAUAAGUUAAAUUCACCAUGGUGUUUUCGUUCGUAGGGACAGCCGAAAGAGAAUCCAUUUAUAAUGAGGGAGCAAUCUGAGAACAAGAGCAAGAGUGCCAAGCCUAAAACAGGCACAAAGGAGAAGAAGAAAAGUGAGUUUGAGUUCUGCAAGGUUUGCAAAAUAAAUCAUGACCAAGGUCUUCGCCACAAGUAUUUCCCUAAGCACAAACAAUCCCUUUCCACCUUCCUCUCUCGCUUCAAAAACAAACUCUCCGAUGUUCGCUUCUUCCUCAAAACACCUUCUCCUCUUACUCCUCAACUUGCUUCCGGCAAUCGCUUCUGGUGUGUUUUCUGUGACCAAGAUAUCGAUGAGCACUCCAGUUCUUUUGCCUGGUAUCAAUUUUUUGUUUUCAAUUUAUGAACUAUUGUCCAGGUUUUCUUUAGCUAAAUUGUAAUGAACGUUCUCUUGUUCUCGAGGCAGUGAAAAUGCGAUUCGUCACCUAGCAAGUGUAGAACAUGUGAAUAAUUUGAAGCACUUCUUUUGGAAAUAUGGUGGCACAGUGGAUCAGCUGGAUGUGUUUACAGUUUCUCAUAAUGACGUUGCAAAGGUGCCAUAUAAAAUCUUAUGUCUGUUUUUUAGGGGAUUUUUUUUUUUUUUUUUAUAUAUAAAAUAACUCAUUAUAUAGAAUGCAUUUGCUCAUUAAGUUACAAAAAAGCAUUUGCUCAUCAUUUGUCAUUUCUUUGCUAGUGCAGUGGGACAAGAGGUGCGCAAACCUUAAAAAAGAAGCUUCAUUGCAAAGUGAGGAAAGUCCUGGAGCAGUUUUUGGACCUUCAAGUGAUAUCCAUAAUCAAUCGAACAAUGAAAAUAUUGAUAGUUUUAAAAAUAAUAUUUAUUCCAAUUCUGUGAACUCGAAUGUUGUUUUGCCUUUACACUGCUACACAAAUGAGUAUCAGGUAUCCUCUUCAGGUCACUCUGGAGUUGGAAAUACCGGCCUUUUAGAUAUUGGUAAAUCUUCUUUACCUUCGGAAGCAUGCUCCAGUGCGAAUACCCUUGCUUUGCAGGAUUUUGCAGGUAUGCUUACCCUGUCUAUUGGAAAUGUCAUUCCUUAUUCUUUACAAUUAUCGGUCACUUGCGGGAUUUGUUAAAAAGUUGAGACUUAUCUUCCGUGUGCUUAUGCUUUGUGUCUCAGCUGAACGGAGAAGUCACAAACUCCCUUAUAAUAGUGGACAAUGGUCAAGUGAUGGAUACUCAUGUAAUAAAGCGGUAAGUCUAUGUGUUGGGGGGAAGAGGGGAGGGUUUCUUAGGCUUUGACUCUUCUGCUUGAGAAUCUAACUAUUGAGUUUCAGACUUUCAGCAAUUGUUGGUUGAUGAUUUCAUUGGUUUGUAAGAUCAAUGUAUCUAAAGUUUUUCCUAAAGUUAUCUAAAAUUUUCUUGUCUUCAUGAUCAAGGAUUAUAGUUUGCUUCUCGCAAUGCAUGCUUGUAUAUUUUAUAAUCUCUAAUUUCUAUUUUCACAUUAUUCUGAUUGUUGCUCCCCUCUUGCUCUGUAGCUUUCUAAUGUCUAAUUUAAACACUGAUAAAGGCAUUGCAUUUCUUAUGAAUAUAGCAGGUUCUUGAUAAUGGUAAAGUGGUCAGCGGAGAGAGUGGUCCGCAAGGUGUUCAUCUAUCUAUAACUAUAUAUUUUUCUUAAGUUCUUAUAAUUCUAUAAAGUUGGGGAGCAUGUGCCAAUUGAAUAUGUAAUUUUUCAUAGCACUAUUGCAUUUGCACCUAUGUGCAAAAUAUUUGAAGACUUGAAUGCAGAAAAAAAAGUUCUCUGUGGCAUUAUGACUUGCUCUUAGAUAGAUAACAUUGAGGAGGCUGUGAAUGUGAUGGUAAACUAGUGUGCAUGAUGCAUUGUCUACUAAUGACUCUGCAUUUUCAGGUAUACAAAUGCUCACUCGGAUUUCUUUUGUGCCUGCUGAAAAUGGUGGUGGAAAUGUUCAUUCUGGAGCACCUCCGCCUUGGUUUGAAACAACUGAGGGAGUUCAGAUGCAUCCGAAGCCUGUUUUAGGAGACCUUGUCUCCCAUUCAAACAAGUCAGGGAAGCACAAAAAGUUGAAUCCUAAACGCGUUGGAGCUGCUUGGGCAGAAAAGAGAAAGAUUGAAAUGGAGAUGGAAAAGAGGGGAGAGACUGUGAGGAACGAAUGUGAUGCCAGCUGGCUUCCUAAUUUUGGUAGAGUCUGGCAAUCUGGCAGCAGAAGAGAAUCCAGAAAAGAAUUUGAAAAGGAGAAACAAGAGUUGUCAAAUGUUGAAGCUCAACCUGAGAUGCCAAUCAAGAUACAACCUUAUGUUAGCAAAAGAAUGGUGCGUUUUACAUUCUAAAUAUUAUGGGUUUGAUUUGUUUCAAAACUGUCUGUCAAAACCAGUCUGCUUUGUGCCUGACCGAGCCCAAGCUUGGCAUGUUUGGU
rnacentral:lncRNA from 1 species